UACGUAGGGUGCAAGCGUUGUCCGGAAUUAUUGGGCGUAAAGAGCUCGUAGGCGGUUUGUCGCGUCUGCUGUGAAAACCCAGGGCUUAACCCUGGGCCUGCAGUGGGUACGGGCAAACUAGAGUGCGGUAGGGGAGAUCGGAAUUCCUGGUGUAGCGGUGAAAUGCGCAGAUAUCAGGAGGAACACCGAUGGCGAAGGCAGGUCUCUGGGCCGAUACUGACGCUGAGGAGCGAAAGCGUGGGGAGCGAACAGG
rnacentral:rRNA from 1 species